rnacentral:rRNA from 1 species
UGGAGCAUGUGGUUUAAUUCGAAGCAACGCGCAGAACCUUACCUAGACUUGACAUCCCGGGGAUUUUCUGGAAACAGAGAAGUGCUUUAGCAAUAAGAACCCGGUGACAGGUGCUGCAUGGCUGUCGUCAGCUCGUGUCGUGAGAUGUUGGGUUAAGUCCCGCAACGAGCGCAACCCUCGCCUUUAGUUGCCAGCAUUCAGUUGGGCACUCUAGAGGGACUGCCGGUGUCAAACCGGAGGAAGGUGGGAUGACGUCAAGUCCUCAUGGCCUUUAUGUCUAGGGCUACACACGUACUACAAUGGCCGGUACAAAGGGCAGCCACUCAGCGAUGAGGCGCUAAUCCCAUAAAGCCGGUCUCAGUCCGGAUCGCAGUCUGCAACUCGACUGCGUGAAGUUGGAAUCGCUAGUAAUCGUAGAUCAGCAUGCUACGGUGAAUACGUUCCCGGGCCUU